GACAGAGGGUGCAAACGUUGUUCGGAAUUACUGGGCGUAAAGCGCGUGUAGGCGGCAAGCCAAGUCGGGUGUGAAAGCCCUGGGCUCAACCCAGGAAGUGCAUUCGAUACUGGCAAGCUAGAGUCCCGGAGAGGAUGGUGGAACUCUCGGUGUGAGAGGUGAAAUUCGUAGAUAUCGAGAAGAACACCGGUGGCGAAGGCGGCCAUCUGGACGGUGACUGACGCUGAGACGCGAAAGCGUGGGGAGCAAAC
rnacentral:rRNA from 1 species